rnacentral:rRNA from 1 species
AUUGAACGCUGGCGGCAUGCUUUACACAUGCAAGUCGAACGGUAACAGGCCGCAAGGUGCUGACGAGUGGCGAACGGGUGAGUAAUGCAUCGGAACGAGCCCAGUCGUGGGGGAUAACGCAGCGAAAGCUGCGCUAAUACCGCAUACGAUCUGUGGAUGAAAGCGGGGGACCGAAAGGCCUCGCGCGAUUGGAGCGGCCGAUGUCAGAUUAGGUAGUUGGUGGGGUAAAGGCCCACCAAGCCAACGAUCUGUAGCUGGUCUGAGAGGACGACCAGCCACACUGGGACUGAGACACGGCCCAGACUCCUACGGGAGGCAGCAGUGGGGAAUUUUGGACAAUGGGCGCAAGCCUGAUCCAGCAAUGCCGCGUGCAGGAAGAAGGCCUUCGGGUUGUAAACUGCUUUUGUACGGAACGAAACGGCUCUGGUUAAUACCUGGGGCUAAUGACGGUACCGUAAGAAUAAGCACCGGCUAACUACGUGCCAGCCGCCGCGGUAAAAC